AUAAAUCAAUCAGUCCUCCAUGCACUACUCUUUCAUUUUUUCGCUUUCCAAAUUCCACCGUUUAAUUACUCUACCCUUUCGAUGGAGUUGAUGAACCGCAUUUGCCCUGACUCUCCAUACGUUUGGAACAGCGACGGUGUUUCAGAGUGUUUCAGCAACUUAGUAUUAGGUUUUGGAGCCAAUAUCUUGACUAUUGUUCUUGUUGCUGCUAUAGGAGCGGGUAAAAGGAGUUCCAAAGAUGGAAAUAGGAUAUCCGUUCUGGCAAACGUUUUCUUGCAUCUGAUUCCUGCUUUGGGUGCAAGCAUGGCACUCUGUGACAUGGUUGUGCUAAUCAAAAAGAUGUUAGACAGUUCUCAUGUGCAGUAUCAUGAAUGGCUCUUCAGGUUUUCACAAUUGUCAGUUUGGGCUACCAUUCUGCUGGUCUUGAAGUCUGGGUACUGCUAUGUUGUUUGCUGCAACCCCAUCAUGUGUGUUUGGUGGAUGUUGAAAUUUCUUCUUUUAGUACCUCAUUUACAAAGAGAUUUUACUUCUCUUCAGGCUCUUUUAUGUCUUAAACAAGGCUUCACUGCUUUAGUGGAUAUAAGUUUUGGAGUUUUGAUUAUUAUAACCAGAAGUACAACAAGGCCUCAGAGUAGUAGUUGCAUGGAAGAGGAAUUACUUCUGCCCAGAAAAAUGGACACUGGUCAAGGUAGCUCCAGAGGAGUGUCAAAGGGUGUUGUAUGCAACUGCUGGAAUCUGAUAGCAUUCAAAUCUGUCAAACCCGUAAUGGAAUGCGGAGUAAAAAGGCAGCUUGACUAUGAAGAUUUACUUGAGCUACCCACUGAUAUGGAUCCUUCAUCCUGCCACACUUUGCUGUCAACAUGCUGGAAAGCUCAACAAAGAAAUGAAUAUUCUCAUCCUUCAUUAAUCAAAACAAUAUGUCGUGCAUUUGGAUGGCAAUAUUUCCGUUUAGGUCUUCUAAAGGUUCUUAAUGACUGUCUCAGUUUUGCGGGUCCAGUGCUUCUCAAUAAGUUGAUUCGCUUUCUACAGCAAGGUUCAAGAGACUAUGACGGCUAUAUUGUUGCACUGUCCUUGGGCCUUUCUUCUGUCUUGAACAGAACUCUAGUUGCUGACAGAAUUCUGAUGCCCAUUGUUGUCUUGCGCGCACACAAAAAAAGAAGAGAAAAUAGAUCGUUCCUUGAUACACAAUAUACUUUUCAUCUUUCAAAGCUCAAGCUCAAGCUAAGAUCCAGUAUCAUGAGUCUUAUUUAUGGAAAGUGUCUUUCUGUUAGUUUGGCCGAGAGAUCAAAAUUUUCUGAAGGAGAAAUUCAGACAUUCAUGUCUGUGGAUGCGGAUCGAAUUGUGAACCUGUGUAAUAGUUUUCAUGAUAUGUGGAGUUUGCCAUUGCAGAUUGGAAUAGCUCUCUAUCUCCUGUAUACACAAGUCAAAUUCGCAUUUCUUUCUGGAAUAGCUAUAACAAUAUUGCUAAUACCAGUUAAUAAGUGGAUUGCAAAUGUAAUUGCAAAAGCUACAAAGAGCAUGAUGGAGCAAAAGGAUGAAAGGAUAAGAAUGACAGCUGAGAUUUUAACACAUAUACGUACUUUGAAAAUGUAUGGUUGGGAGCUACUUUUUGGAAGUUGGCUGAUGAACACGAGAUCGGAAGAAGUAAAAUACCUUUCGACUAGGAAAUACUUGGAUUCAUGGUGUGUUUUCUUCUGGGCAACAACACCUACACUUUUCUCGUUGUUCACAUUUGGACUAUAUACUUUGAUGGGCCAUCAACUUGAUGCAGCAACGGUUUUUACUUGUGUCGCACUGUUUAACAACUUGAUUUCUCCAUUAAAUUCAUUUCCGUGGGUCAUCAAUGGGUUAAUUGAUGCUGCAAUAUCUUCCAGGAGGUUAUGCAAGUAUUUAUCUUGUUUUGAGCAGGAGACAAACAUGGAACAACCAACCAAUAGUUCGGUUUUCUCAUGCUCUAAUAAGCAGGACGAAUUGCAAGAUGCGGCUGUUGUCAUCCAUGAUGCAUCUUGGACAUGGUCGAGCAGUGACGAGAAGGAAAUAGAUUUGAUUGUGGAUCCUGUUAAUCUUCUUAUUCCGAAAGGUUUACUGGUUGCAGUAGUUGGAGAGGUUGGUUCAGGGAAAUCAUCCUUGUUGAAUUUGAUUUUGGGGGAAACAAGGCUAAUCAAUGGAUCUGUGUACCGCGAUGGUUCUAUAGCAUAUGUUCCGCAGGUUGCUUGGAAUCUCUCAGGAACUGUACGUGAUAACAUUUUGUUCGGGAAAGAAUAUGAUCCAAGGAGAUACUCAGAAGUUUUACGAGCUUGUUCCUUGGACUUUGAUAUUUCCAGAAUGAUGGGAGGUGAUAUGGCCUUUGUUGGAGAAAAAGGAUUUAACUUAUCUGGUGGACAGAGAGCUCGUCUUGCACUUGCCAGAGCUGUUUAUCAUGAUGCGGAAAUAUACCUUCUUGAUGAUAUUCUCAGUGCAGUUGAUGCACAUGUUGGUAGUUCAAUUCUACAGAAUGCAAUUCUUGGUCCUCCAAUGAAUCAGCAGACACGAAUCCUUUGCACACAUAACAUUCAGGCAAUAUCUGCUGCAGACUUGGUGAUUGUGAUGGAUAAAGGACAUGUGCAGUGGGUAGGAAAUCCAAUUGAUUUUACUUUUCCCUCUGAUGUAGCAUUCUCAACAAUCGAUGAAGUUAGCAGUUGUUCUGAAGUUCAACAGCAGGAUAAAAGAUCAAAUAUUUCAAGUGAGAUCCAGCAGAGAACUUCAGAGGCUGAUUUUAUAUGUACUCCUGAUGAAAAUCAAGGGACUGAUGAAUCAGAGGCUCGGAAAGAAGGAAAAGUUGAAGUCAUUGUAUACAAGAGCUAUGCUGUUUUUGCUGGUUGGUUCAUCACAGUUUUAACAUGCCUCUCUGCGGUUUUGAUGCAAGCUUCUCGUAAUGGAAAUGACAUGUGGCUCUCAUAUUGGGUUGAUACAAGUGGAAGAAACCAGAAACCAUAUUCAACAACUUUUUACCUGGCUAUACUCUCUCUCUUCUGUCUGGCAAAUUCCUUGCUAACUUUAGUGAGGGCAUUUGCAUUUGCAUUUGGUGGGCUGCGUGCCGCUGUUAAGGUGCAUGAUAGAUUAUUAGAGAAGCUUAUGAGUGCACCUAUUAGCUUCUUUGAUUUGCACCCAACUGGAAGAAUUAUAAACAGACUGUCCUCAGAUCUCUACACUAUUGACGAUUCUCUUCCCUUUAUUCUCAACAUUCUGCUGGCUAAUUUUGUUGGCCUCUUGGGAAUUGCAGUUGUACUGUCAUACGUGCAGGUCAUGUUUUUGUUUCUGUUAAUGCCUUUCUGGUACAUCUACAGAAAACUACAGCUGUACUACAGGUCAACAUCACGUGAGUUACGUAGAUUAGACAGUGUAUCUCGAUCACCUAUAUAUGCAUCUUUUACAGAGACUCUGGAUGGAUCAUCAACAAUAAGAGGCUUUAAGAGCGAGGAUCUUUUUCUAGUCAAAUUUAAUAAGCAUCUGAUGACAUAUCAGAGGACUUCGUAUUCAGAAGUAAUAGCAAGUUUGUGGCUCUCCCUGCGCCUUCAGUUGCUUGCAGCAUUUAUCGUCUCAUUUAUUGCGGUGAUGGCAGUUAUCGGUUCUCAUGAAUACCUUCCCAUCAAUUUAGGUACUCCAGGGUUGGUUGGUUUGGCUCUUUCAUAUGCGGCUCCAAUUGUAUCUUUACUUGGAAGCUUCUUAACAAGUUUCACAGAAACAGAGAAAGAGAUGGUUUCUGUUGAGAGGAUACUACAGUAUAUGGAUGUUCCUCAUGAAGAAGAUGUUGGAGGUCAUCCAUUACAUCCACAAUGGCCACAUCAAGGAUUGAUCAAUUUUGUCAAUGUGACUCUUAAGUACAAGCCACAACUCCCUCCUGCCUUGUGUGGUGUUUCUUUCACCAUUGCUGGGGGAACACAGGUUGGUAUAAUUGGAAGAACAGGUGCAGGAAAAUCAAGUAUUUUGAAUGCCCUAUUUCGGCUCUACCCAACAUGCGGAGGAUCUAUCAUGGUUGAUGGGGUAAACAUUGCUGGUGUUUCUGUCAGAUAUCUUCGUUCGAGCUUUGCUGUUGUUCCGCAGGCUCCUUUCUUGUUUGAAGGAUCAAUAAGUAAACAUCUCAGGAAAAAUUUAGAUCCAUUGCAAGAGAACAUGGAUUUUGAGAUCUGGAAUGUCCUAGAAAAAUGCCACAUCAAGGUGGAGGUAGAAGCAGCAGGUGGACUGGAUGUUCAACUGAAAGGGUCUGGAACAGCAUUUUCUGUUGGUCAAAAGCAGCUACUCUGCCUAGCACGUGCUCUCCUCAAGUACUGCAAGGUGCUUUGCUUGGAUGAAUGCACGGCAAAUGUGGACACUGAAACAACUUCAAAACUACAGAAAACUCUAGCCACCGAAUGCCAGGGAACAACGGUUAUCACAAUUGCCCAUCGCAUUUCAACAGUUAUGAGCAUGGACAAUAUCCUGAUUUUGGAUCGAGGGUUCCUGGUAAACGUACUUUCUUGACAAGCUUCCCUUCGUUUAAACUGUCUAGACAUAAGAAUCGAAUCAUAAGAAUAUACCAAAAGUAGCUGGUUGCUUUGACAUUUUUUAAGUCUCUUCGGGUUAAUUAUUUACUAUUAUACUUAUCUGGAAAGUAGGGGUCAGACAUUAUUCCUUAAAACAAAGAUUGUUGUUUUAAUGUUUGGAACUUGGUUUAAGGCCUACUGAUAUGAACAACCAAACAAGUCUUGGCACUCAAUCUAGUGAUCAUCCUACUGGUUGAACAGGGUAAUCCGCGGAUUCUUCUAGAAGAUCAGUCAUCCAUAUUUUUCAGCUUUGCCAAAGCUUCAAGAAUGUGAUGCAAAUCUUCUUGAGUUCUCUAAAAAGUAGUUUUGGCAACUGGAAGGAGCUGUAUAGUAGAUAGAGCUAUUCAGAAGCACUCAAAUCUUGUUUUACUUGUAAGUCUAGUAGUUGCUACUUGCUAACUUAUUAAAGUCCUGAACUGAUUUUCAAGUGUGAAGUUGUUGGUGUACGUUAAAUCCAGCAUCUUAACUCGAAAUGCAGCCUGAGUUAAUUUAAUAGAAAUUAUAACUUUUUCCUACGAAGUAACUAAACUAUUUUUUUGUUACUAUAAAGUCAUUGUAUAUAAUCUCUUUAAAAAUAACUUUGGCAGGAAAUCAAA